rnacentral:rRNA from 1 species
UUUGAAAUCUGGCUCCCCGCCGCGGGACCCGAGUUGUAAUUUGCAGAGGGUGCUUCGGCGCCGGCCCCGGCCUAAGUCCCUUGGAACAGGGCGUCGCAGAGGGUGAGAAUCCCGUACGCGGCCGGCGGCCUCCGCCUUGUGAAGCCCCUUCGACGAGUCGAGUUGUUUGGGAAUGCAGCUCUAAAUGGGAGGUAAAUUUCUUCUAAAGCUAAAUACCGGCCAGAGACCGAUAGCGCACAAGUAGAGUGAUCGAAAGAUGAAAAGCACUUUGGAAAGAGAGUCAAAAAGCACGUGAAAUUGUUGAAAGGGAAGCGCUUGCAGCCAGACGCGCUCGCAGUUGCUCACCCGGGCCCCGCGCCCGGUGCACUCUUCUGCGGGCGGGCCAGCAUCGGUUCGGGCGGUUGGAUAAAGGCCCCGGGAAUGUGGCUCCCUCCGGGGAGUGUUAUAGCCCGGGGCGGCAUGCAGCCAGCCUGGACCGAGGACCGCGCUUCGGCGAGGAUGCUGGCGUAAUGGCCGCAAGCGGCCCGUCUUGAAACACGGACCAAGGAGUCUAACAUCUAUGCGAGUGUUUGGGUGUCAAGCCCGGGCGCGCAAUGAAAGUGAAUGGAGGUGGGAACCCUCGGGUGCACCAUCGACCGAUCCUGAAGUCUUCGGAUGGAUUUGAGUAAGAGCAUAGCUGUUGGGACCCGAAAGAUGGUGAACUAUGCCUGAAUAGGGUGAAGCCAGGGGAAACUCUGGUGGAGGCUCGCAGCGGUUCUGACGUGCAAAUCGAUCGUCAAAU